rnacentral:misc_RNA from 1 species
AAAGUCGUAACAAGGUUUCCGUAGGUGAACCUGCGGAAGGAUCAUUAUCACGUAUCCAAACGUAUAAACCCAAUGUGCACCUCAAUCAUCCUCCUUUCAGGGUUUUAUGAAGUGGCAGAGAAGUUGAUAUUUCGAUUCAUGGUCUUUCGAAAUUCUCUGUCAAGUUCUACUUUAGUAGGGCUGCCUUCUAAUCCGGGAGUCGUAUCAAACCAUGCUUGUUUUACUAUAACAACUUGUACCUUUCUGAACUAACUUUGGUUUUCUAACUCGAAUCCUUCUGGCAACAGAUUGAUUCUUGGUGGUAACCUUGAUUUAUACAAACUCUGAACUACUCUUAACAACGGAUAUCUUGGUUCUC